rnacentral:rRNA from 1 species
AUUCGCCCUUCCGUCAAUUCCUUUGAGUUUCAACCUUGCGGCCGUACUCCCCAGGCGGAGAACUUAUCGCGUUAGCUACGACACCGAUUUGCUAAGCAAACCAACGUCAAGUUCUCAUCGUUUACGGCGUGGACUACCAGGGUAUCUAAUCCUGUUUGCUACCCACGCUUUCGUGCCUCAGCGUCAAAACAGGCCCAGGAGGCUGCCUUCGCCAUCGGUGUUCUUCCAGAUAUCUACGCAUUUCACCACUACACCUGGAGUUCCACCUCCCUCUACCGUUUUCUAGUCUGACAGUAUCGACCGCAAUUCCUAGGUUGAGCCCAGGGCUUUCACAAUCGACUUAUCAAACCGCCUACGCACGCUUUACGCCCAGUAAAUCCGAUUAACGCUAGCACCCUCUGUAUUACCGCGGCUGCUGGCACAGAGUUAGCCGGUGCUUAUUCUGUCGGUACCGUCAAGACUUCACGUAUUAAGUAAAGUUUUUUCUUCCCAACUUAAAGUGCUUUACAACCCGAAGGCCCUCUUCACACACGCGGUAUUGCUGGAUCAGGCUUUCGCCCAUUGUCCAAUAUUCCCCACUGCUGCCUCCCGUAGGAGUCCGGACCGUGUCUCAGUUCCGGUGUGACUGAUCAUCCUCUCAGACCAGUUACGGAUCGUAGCCUUGGUGAGCCAUUACCUCACCAACUAGCUAAUCCGACGUAGGUUCCUCCAAAAGCGAGAGGCCUUGCGGUCCCCCUCUUUGCUCUUGCGAGAUCAUGCGGUAUUAAUCCGGGUUUCCCCGGGUUAUCCCCCACUUAAGGGCAGAUCCCUACGUAUUCCUCACCCGUCCGCCACUAGGUAUUGCUACCUCGUUCGACUUGCAUGUGUUAGGCCUG